rnacentral:rRNA from 1 species
AUUGAACGCUGGCGGCAGGCCUAACACAUGCAAGUCGAACGAGUGGCGGACGGGUGCGUAAUGUCUGGGAAACUGCCUGUUGUAGGGGGAUAACUACUGGAAACGGUAGCUAAUACCGCAUACCAUCAGAUGUGCCCAUAGUGGAUUAGCUAGUAGGUGGGGUAAUGGCUCACCUAGGCGACGAUCCCUAGCUGGUCUGAGAGGAUGACCAGCCACACUGGGACUGAGACACGGACCAGACUCCUACGGGAGGCAGCAGUGGGGAAUAUUGCACAAUGGGCGCAAGCCUGAUGCAGCCAUGCCGCGUGUAUGAAGAAGGCCUUCGGGUUGUAAAGUACUUUCAGCGGGGAGGCGUUACCCGCAGAAGAAGCACCGGCUAACUCCGUGCCAGCAGCCGCGGUAAUUC